GGUUAAGCGACUAAGCGUACACGGUGGAUGCCCUGGCAGUCAGAGGCGAUGAAGGACGUGCUAAUCUGCGAUAAGCGUCGGUGAGGUGAUAUGAACCGUUAUAACCGGCGAUUUCCGAAUGGGGAAACCCAGUGUGUUUCGACACACUAU
rnacentral:rRNA from 1 species